rnacentral:lncRNA from 1 species
CUCAAUGCCCCUUUUGAAGAGCCCCACGCCUCUCUUUCUCUUCUCUCCUCUCUUCUCCUUUGAAGUUCCAACGCCCAAGCAUUGGGCAUCCUUCUUCUUCCAUGCCCAAAAGAGUUUGGGCAUGCCUCUUGUUUGCUGAUUUUUAGUCUCUGGUUGCUUCAUAAUCUAGAAAAGAAAAGCAAGAGAAAAAGCGAAGAAGA